AUUCCAGCUCCAAUAGCGUAUAUUAAAGUUGUUGCAGUUAAAAAGCUCGUAGUUGGACUUGUGCGUGCCCCCGAUGUCCUUUUUGGUACGUUCGGGGGUGUGCAUCCUUGGGUGGAACCUGCGUGGCAUUAGGUUGUCGGGCAGGGGAUGCUCAUCGUUUACUGUGAAAAAAUUAGAGUGUUCAAAGCAGGCUUACGCCGUUGAAUAUAUUAGCAUGGAAUAAUAAGAUAGGACCUUGGUACUAUUUUGUUGGUUUGCGCACCGAGGUAAUGAUUAACAGGGACAGUUGGGGGUAUUCGUAUUCCAUUGUCAGAGGUGAAAUUCUUGGAUUUUUGGAAGACGAACUACUGCGAAAGCAUUUACCAAGGAUGUUUUCAUCG
rnacentral:rRNA from 1 species